UGUGUGGCUUUCUGAUGGACCAGCCAUGA
rnacentral:piRNA from 1 species